GAGUUUGAUCGUGGCUCAGGACGAACGCUGGCGGCGUGCUUAACACAUGCAAGUCGAACGAAGCGCUUCUGUGGAAGUUUUCGGAUGGAAACAGAAGCGACUGAGUGGCGGACGGGUGAGUAACGCGUGGGUAACCUGCCUCAUACAGGGGGAUAACAGCUGGAAACGGCUGCUGAUACCGCAUAAGCGCACGGUACCGCAUGGUACAGUGUAGAAAAACUCCGGUGGUAUGAGAUGGACCCGCGUCUGAUUAGGUAGUUGGUGCGGUAACGGCG
rnacentral:rRNA from 1 species